rnacentral:tRNA from 1 species
CCCGGGUUCGCCUAAUGGUAGGGCAGCUGACUGUAACUCAGUGGCGCACCGCGCAUUGGGGGUUCGAAUCCCUCACCCGGGACCA